CGCGCCUACAAAGCCUGGAACGCCUACAGCGCGCCUAAAGGCCGCAGCCGCUCACCGCUGCCCGCACCUCACCGCCGCAGCGCGCUCAGCGACCUCAACGAUGGCCGGCGCUCCGCCUCUUCCGCGGCUUUUAUAGCGGCGCCGGCCGAAUCUUCUGGAAUGACGCCGCGCUACGUCACGGCGCUGGAACGGUCUGGAACCCGUGCGCGUGACGUCACCGCGGGGAGCGGAGCGCCAGGCGGCGCCUCAGGGGGCGGGAAGGUGACAAGGGGCGGGCCGAGUGGAGCUGCGUGUUGGGCGGGCCUAUGGUGGGGGGGGGCUGAAGACUCAAGCUGAUUAAUUUGUUAUGAGGUGAUGCGUCGGUUCUGUGAGGAGACGCUGUGGUGUGUGCGCUGUGGGUGUAACAGGGGCUCUGAGCAGCCCGUUUGCUGCUAGAAGCAGUAGUUAGUGAGUGUUGUCCCAGAAGUGCAGCAUGGAUGAGUCUCUUUGUUUUGUGUUCUCUCUCUUAAUUGGAGUGAGCUACUGGAUUACCUUUACUUUAUCUUUGCUUUCAAAUAUUUGUUUUCUUUCAUUUUGCUUCCGUUUGGUAUUUUAACCUCAUUAUUUAUUGAGAGAAUUAGCAAAGUAGGAGGAGUUGGUGUUUUGAGGCAGAGCGAACACAGAGUGUAUUACCUGUGCUGCUUUCAUAGAAUCAUAGAAUGGCCUGGGUUGAAAAGGACCACAAUGAUCAUGUAGUUUCAACCCCCUGCUAUGUGCAGGGUUGCUGACCACCAGACCAGGCUGCCCUGAGCCAAACCAGCCUGGCCUUAAAUGCUUAUCUUGAUAAUUGAAGAUAGUGUUAUGCCUCUGAAGCAAAGCAAAUGCAUCCUCUUUUCCAGUACUCUGCUAUGGAAUGGAGUGGGAAUCCUUAUCUCUAUACUCACCAUGCUGCGUGUCAUAAAUCAUGCCUUCUGAACUGUGAAACUGUUACUGAAAAGAGCGUCCUGUCUCCUGGUGAUGCAGUUGCUUAUUUAUGCCUGACCCGCACAGUUCUUCAGCAUAUUUGUGACCAGCCUCAGAGGGUGUGUCAGCAUGCCUAACAGUGGGGAGACUCUUAAGAAAAAUCUACAAGAUGAAAAUGGGUAAAGUAGCUUAAUUAUUUAUGUUAACAAACUGAUUUUUGGAUUUUUUUUGGAACUUCACUUUCUCUUCUAUUACCCAGUGGAUCCAUGAGGACCUUACAUGCCUCAUAGGGACUCAGUCUAAUGCAAGAUUAGAAUUAUCCUUGAAUGAGAUAAAAUGGUAAUGAAAAUUCUAAAUGGUUUUAUUCUAUGUUGACUCCUAGUUUGGCGUUAAUCCU
rnacentral:lncRNA from 1 species